UUAACUCAAAUUUGUAUGAAGUUGGAGCGUUGGCCUACGUUUGCCGCUAGGGGCGCUGUACCAACUGCAUACAAAUUUGAGUU
rfam:Bombyx mori DNA, contig: Bm_scaf20_contig14566, strain: p50T/Dazao, build 2, whole genome shotgun sequence.